GGGGGGUUUGUUUUUCGGGAUCUAAAGGUUUCCGAGCGCUCAGGCGGUUUCUAAAAAAAGAUGUGAAAGCCCACGGCUCCCCGUUGGAGGGUCAUUGGAACUGGGGAACUUGACUGCCUAAGAGAAAAGCGGAAUUCCACGUGUAGCGGUGAACUGCGUACAGAUGUGGAGGAACACCAGUGGCGAAGGCGGCUUUUUGGUCUGUAACUGACGCUGAGGCGCGAAAGCGUGUGGAGCAAACAGGAUUAGAUUCCCUGGUAGUCCACGCCGUAAACGAUGAGUGCUAAGUGUUAGAGGGUUUCCGCCCUUUAGUGCUGCAGCUAACGCAUUAAGCACUCCGCCUGGGGAGUACGGUCGCAAGACUGAAACUCAAAGGAAUUGACGGGGGCCCGCACAAGCGGUGGAGCAUGUGGUUUAAUUCGAAGCAACGCGAAGAACCUUACCAGGUCUUGACAUCCUCUGACAACUCUAGAGAUAGAGCGUUCCCCUUCGGGGGACAGAGUGACAGGUGGUGCAUGGUUGUCGUCAGCUCGUGUCGUGAGAUGUUGGGUUAAGUCCCGCACCGAGCGCAACCCUUGAUCUUAGUUGCCAGCAUUUAGUUUGGGCACUCUAAGGUGACUGCCCGGUGACAAACCGGAGGAAGGUGGGGAUGACGUCAAAUCAUCAUUGCCCCUUAUGACCUGGGCUACACACGUGCUACAAUGGAUGGUACAAUAGGGCUGCAAAGACCGCGAGGUCAAGCCAAUUCCCAUAAAACCAUUCUCAGUUCGGAUUGUAGGCUGCAACUCGCCUACAUGAAGCUGGAAUCGCUAGUAAAUCGCGGAUCAGCAUGCCCCCGGUGAAUACGUUCCCGUGGCCUUGUAACACACCGCCCGUCCCACCACGAGAGUUUUGUAACAUCCUAAAGUCGGUGGAGUAAUCCGUAAGGAGCUAAGCCGCCUUAUGGUGGGACAGAUGAUUGGGGUGAAGUCGUAUCAGGUUAGCCAAGUAUUCUUAUCGUGGCUAUCCUAAUUAUUCGGCAGUAUCUUCCAUUUCCUCC
rnacentral:rRNA from 1 species